rnacentral:rRNA from 1 species
CCUACGGGUGGCAGCAGUGAGGAAUAUUGGUCAAUGGGAGGAAUCCUGAACCAGCCAUGCCGCGUGCAGGACGACGGCUCUACGAGUUGUAAACUGCUUUUGUACCGGGGUAAAAUGCUCUACGAGUAGGGUUUUGAAAGUACGGUACGAAUAAGGAUCGGCUAACUCCGUGCCAGCAGCCGCGGUAAUACGGAGGAUCCGAGCGUUAUCCGGAUUUAUUGGGUUUAAAGGGAGCGUAGGCGGGUUGUUAAGUCAGUUGUGAAAGUUUGCGGCUCAACCGUAAAAUUGCAGUUGAUACUGGCAUCCUUGAGUACAGUAGAGGUAGGCGGAAUUCGUGGUGUAGCGGUGAAAUGCUUAGAUAUCACGAAGAACUCCGAUUGCGAAGGCAGCCUGCUGGACUGUAACUGACGCUGAUGCUCGAAAGUGUGGGUAUCAAACAGGAUUAGAUACCCGGGUAGUC